AAAAAGGGCAUCUGUCGUGAUUGACACAGUAAAGGCAGGGCAUUUCUGCUGUUACUGCGGAAUCGCUAUCAAGAGAUUUCGGAUGCAUAAUUUUUACUACCUGGGGCUGCUGAUAACCGUGUGUUUUGGCGCCCCG